GUAAAAGAAGGUAGGCUCCAGCAGAAAAAGGAUUUGAAAUAUGACCCUUCGGAAAAUGAGGACUUGCAUGUUUUAGUCGAGGCUGAGACUCAGGAAGCUCUUGAAGCUGCUGCUGGUAUGGUUGAGAAGCUGUUGCAACCUGUUGAUGAGGUGCUGAAUGAAAACAAGAGGCAACAACUCAGGGAGCUUGCCACCUUGAAUGGAUUGAUAAGAGAUGAAGAAUUCUGUAGGCUGUGUGGUGAGCAAGGACAUAGACAAUAUAUGUGUCCGUCUCGUACAAUUACCUUUAAAAUUGAUGUUCUUUGCAAGAUUUGUGGUGAUGGUGGACACCCUACUAUUGAUUGCCUAGUGAAGAGUACAACUGGGAAGAAAAUGCAUGAUGAAUAUCAAAAAUUUUUGGCAGAGUUGGGAGGAAUUGUCCCUGAAUCUUCUCUCAAACAGAGUCCUACCUUGGCUCUUGGUACGGGAAGUAAUCCUUUGUAGGCUAACAAUGCGGGGAGUGGGGCAAGUGCUCAUCCUGACUUAAGGUUAAUUCCGGCCAAACCUUCCAAAGAAUAUGACGAAAGAAAUCUGUACAUUGGGUUCUUACCUACGAUGCUUGAGGACGAUGACUUGAUUAAUCUGUUUUCACCCUUUGGUGAAAUUGUGAUGGCAAAGGUAAUUAAGGACCGUGUCUGGUCUGAGCAAAGACUAUGGUUUUGUGAAGUACGCUGAUGUCCAG
rnacentral:lncRNA from 1 species